GGAUGUGAGAGCACCCUGGCUGCGACAGCUGCCACCCCACUGAUGGCCAGGGCUGGUUUGGCUGGACUGGCCGGCAGGCAGGUGAUCCCUUCCCUCCCCCCCACAUACACUCCCCAAAGGUGGGCUUUCGGUGGGAGAGGACCACCUUCCUGGACAGAGGCAGACUGUUGUUUGGUCAGAGGUGUAACAGUAGCUGCGCUGCCCUGCUAGAGCCUCCAAACAAGCUCUCAAAGACUGAUUUCUAUGUGUUUGCAAGACAAGCACUUGGAUGAGACUUGGGAGCUAGGAGAAGGAGGCCCUGUGCUU
rnacentral:snRNA from 1 species